UACGUAGGGUGCAAGCGUUGUCCGGAAUUAUUGGGCGUAAAGCGCGCGCAGGCGGUCCUUUAAGUCUGACGUGAAAGCCCACGGCUCAACCGUGGAGGGUCAUUGGAAACUGGGGGACUUGAGUACAGAAGAGAAGAGUGGAAUUCCACGUGUAGCGGUGAAAUGCGUAGAGAUGUGAAGGAACACCAGUGGCGAAGGCGACUCUUUGGUCUGUAACUGACGCUGAGGCGCGAAAGCGUGGGGAGCAAACAGG
rnacentral:rRNA from 1 species